UCGUCGUGCGGCGGCCGUACUUUCGGCGGGCGGAGCGCCACGACCGGUUCGUCGGCGGCGAGAAACUCCCGGGCAAGGUGACCUUCGUCUCGGCGCAGGAGCAUACAGGCCCGGUGAGCGUCGGCCCGUCGGUGGACCGAGGAAGACCGUCGCGGAGCGGCGUCGACCGUUCGUCGUGUGUUGGCGUUCGACUCGGGGGGACUGGUUCCAGUGCCCUCGGACCGCGCCGGCGCAGCGGCGGGCGCGCACGGCGUCGCGCCUGGGGUCGGUGGCGAAACGGCCGGCAACCUGUCCGACCCGUCUUGAAACACGGACCAAGGAGUCUAACAUGUGCGCGAGUCGUUGGGCGCUACGAAACCCGAAGGCGCAAUGAAAGUGAAGGCCCGGUCUCCGGCCGGCCUGGGUGGGAUCCCGGCGGUCUCGGCCGUCGGGCGCACCACCGGCCCGUCUCGUUCGUUACGUCGAGGAGGCGGAGCAAGAGCGUACACGUUGGGACCCGAAAGAUGGUGAACUAUGCCCGAGUAGGACGAAGCCAGAGGAAACUCUGGUGGAGGUCCGCAGCGAUUCGGACGAGCAAAUCGAUCGUCAAACUUGGGUAUAGGGGNGAAAGANUAAUCGAACCAUAUAGUAGCUGGUUNCUGUCGAAGUUUCCCUCAGGAUAGCUGGCGCUCGUCGUGAGCAGUUUUAUCCGGUAAAGCGAAUGACUGGAGGCCUUGGG
rnacentral:rRNA from 1 species